GAUGAACGCUGGCGGCGUGCCUAAUACAUGCAAGUCGAGCGAAUGGAUUAAGAGCUUGCUCUUAUGAAGUUAGCGGCGGACGGGUGAGUAACACGUGGGUAACCUGCCCAUAGGACUGGGAUAACUCCGGGAAACCGGGGCUAAUACCGGAUAACAUUUUGAACCGCAUGGUUCGAAAUUGAAAGGCGGCUUCGGUUGUCACUUACGGAUGGACCCGCGUCGCAUUAGCUAGUUGUUGAGGUAACGGCUCACCAAGGCAACGAUGCGUAGCCGACCUGAGAGGGUGAUCGGCCACACUGGGACUGAGACACGGCCCAGACUCCUACGGGAGGCGGCAGUAGGGAAUCUUCCGCAAUGGACGAAAGUCUGACGGAGCAACGCCGCGUGAGUGAUGAAGGCUUUCGGGUCGUAAAACUCUGUUGUUAGGGAAGAACAAGUGCUAGUUGAAUAAGCUGGCACCUUGAUGGUACCUAACCAGAAAGCCACGGCUAACUACGUGCCAGCAGCCGCCGCCG
rnacentral:rRNA from 1 species